rnacentral:rRNA from 1 species
AUUGAACGCUGGCGGCAUGCCUUACACAUGCAAGUCGAACGGCAGCGGGCCUUCGGGUGCCGGCGAGUGGCGAACGGGUGAGUAAUGCAUCGGAACGUGCCAUUGAGUGGGGGAUAACGUAGCGAAAGUUACGCUAAUACCGCAUAUUCUGUGAGCAGGAAAGCAGGGGACCGCAAGGCCUUGCGCUCUUUGAGCGGCCGAUGUCAGAUUAGCUAGUUGGUGAGGUAAAGGCUUACCAAGGCGACGAUCUGUAGCGGGUCUGAGAGGAUGAUCCGCCACACUGGAACUGAGACACGGUCCAGACUCCUACGGGAGGCAGCAGUGGGGAAUUUUGGACAAUGGGCGCAAGCCUGAUCCAGCCAUGCCGCGUGAGUGAAGAAGGCCUUCGGGUUGU